UAAUAUCAUUAUAUAAAAGCUUGUAUAAGUUCGUAAUGGGACGAGCGUUUCUACCAACUGCCUUAACAGUUGACUACAGGUUUCCGCAAAACCGGA
rnacentral:ncRNA from 2 species